UGCCCCGGGUGACGCUUCUCCCCCCAACUCCGCCAGGGCCUGACGGCAGCAACGGUAACGGGGAGGGCGGGUACCCGGGGUUCUU
rnacentral:SRP_RNA from 1 species